rnacentral:tRNA from 1 species
GGCGUGGUGGCGGAGUGGUUAUCGCGCAAGACUAGAAAUCUUGUUCCUUCGGGAGCGCAGGUUCGAGUCCUGCCCACGUCG